rnacentral:rRNA from 1 species
GUACUCGGCUGGAAACAAUCUUUAUGGUUUUUAUAUCCGGUUAGAAUAACAAAAAAGAAUCAAAAUCCAGGUUGGUUGGUGAGGUUCGGAAAGCACUUGUUGAGUCUAAGAUUCCUUUAUUGCUAA